GUUAGUGGUCCAAGUGUGGAGGUUGGCAGGGCCACAACCACCCAUCCACAGGAGGAGCACAUGCAGGCAGGAUCCAGAGUUCAAAGGAUGUCACCACUGGUGGGCUUCUCCCCUCCCAGAAAACCAGCCUCUCCCUGUUAACUCCACACAUGAAGCAAGUACGGGAGGAAGAGGUACAGGUUCCCAGCUGUGUCUCCUGCCCCAUCCCCUUUCGUGGGGAGCGGAAGCUCCCCAAACAUGUUCUGAGAACAUUUCUAACUGAUGGCUUUAGGGUAACAUGAACAAGAGGGCUGCUAAGACCUU
rnacentral:lncRNA from 1 species